rnacentral:lncRNA from 1 species
UCCAUACUUCCAAAGCCUCUAGCCAGGCAAAGUUUUACUUUAUUACUUCUUGCUUUUGAUUGAUAUAAAGCAGUGUCCUGGUAGGCAUAUUGUGUAUACUUGCAAAGAUGCAGAACUAAACAGUUGUUAAUAUUAAAACAAAAGUCCUGUAAACCUCAGAUGGUGAGUGUAAUAUUUUAGCACUAACACCAAAGCCUCAGAUAUGAAAAGAUACCAAAAACACCACUAGCAAACAAAAGUAAACUCUCAGCUGGAAGCAGUAGUUCAUACCUGUAAGCCCACCACUUUGGCAAGCUAAGGUGGGAGGAUUACUUGGAGUCAGGAGUCCAAGACCAGCCUGGGCAGCAUAGUGAAUUCACAUCUCUACAAAAAAAUUUAAAAAUUAGCAUGCCUAUAGUCCUAGCCACCUGGGAGUCUGAGGUGGGAAAAUCGCUUGAGCCCAGGAGUUUGAGGCUGCUGUAGCUACGAUAAUGCCACUGCACUCUAGCCUAGGUGACAGAGCGAGACCUAGAUAAUUACAUUCUGUCCUGCUCCUGUUUACACUAAAAUCACUAAGUUAAAAUGCUUUCAUUCAGCAGGAUAAAAAUUAAGUGACAUGGCCGGGUGUGGUGGCUCACAUCUGUAAUCCCAGCACUUUGGGAGGCCGAGGUGGGUGGAUCACCUGAGGUCGGGAGUUCGAGACCAACCUGACCAACAUGGAGAAACCCCGUCUCUAAUUCAAAUACAAAAUUAGCCGGGCAUGGUGGCACAUGCCUGUAAUCCUAGCUACUCAGGAGGCUGAGGCGGGAAGAAUCGCUUGAACCUGGAAGGGGGAGGUUUCAGUGAGCCAAGAUCACACCACUGCACUCCAGCCUGGGCAAACAAGAGCGAAACUCCACCUCAAAAAAAAAAAAAAAAAAAAAAAAAAAUUAAGUGAAAUGUGGCCAGGCGCGGUGGCUCACGCCUGUAAUCCCAGCACUUUGGGAAGCUGAGGCAGGCAGAUCACCUGAGUUCAGGAGUUCGAGACCAGACUGGCCAACGUGGUGAAACACAGUCUCUACUACAAAUACAAAAAUUAGCCAGGCAUGGUGGCGAGUGCCUGUAGUCCCAGCUACUCAGGAGACUAAGGCAGGAGAAUCACCUGAACCUAGGAGGCAGAGGUUGCAGUGGGCCAAGAUCAUGCCACUGCACUCCAGCCAGACUCUGUCUCAAAAAAUAAAAAUAAAUUGAUUAAGUGAAAUGUGAUUUUGGAGCUUGGGUGGCUAAAAAAGGAAAGAAAAUAUAAAGCUAAACAACAAAUUACUUACUAGGAGAAAGUUUUUGUAACCUCAGUGACAGAUAAAAGGUUUAUAUCCUAAGCCCAUAAAGAAAUCUUUAAAAUUACUCAGAAAAAUGAUUUUAAAAGAUAAAAUUAUUUCACAAUUUUAUAAAAUUACUCAGAGAAAAACAAAUGGUUUCCAACAGAAAAUGGGAAAUGGAGAAACAAACACUUCUCACAAGAAUAAAAAUUGCCAAUAAGCAUAUAAAAGAUUCAAAAGCACUAGAAAUCAAAGAAAUGUAAUGAAAACAAUGAGAUUUUCUGCUUAAAGACUAGCAAAGACAACAAAUGGAAGGGGGAAGCUGGAGCUCUGUCCCUGUUGGUGGGAGUAUAAACUGAACCAAUCUUCCUGCACAAUAAUUUGAAAAUGUCUAUUAAAAUCCCUAAAACUGUUUUAUAUUAUUUUCCUCCAGAAAUUCUACUUCUAUGAAUUCAGUCAUAAAAUGCUUGCUCGAGUCCAUUAAAAUGUAUAUAUGAGGAAAUUCACCUCUGGGGUGGCAAUGAUUAACUUAAUAUACAUCCAGCUAUUAAAAAUGAUGAUGCCAGGAUAUACUUACUGCCAUAGAAGCAAGCCCAAAAUAUAGAGUGUUUGGUAAACUUCACCAUGUCUAUAUCUCUGUGUCUUUGCACCUGCUGGUCUCUGCUUGGAAUGAUGUCUCAAGGUUUUAUUCACCUGGAAAGAAUUCCUACUCACCCUUAAAGACUCAGCUUAAAUAACCCCUUCUCUGGUAAACCUUUAUAUUCUCCCAUUCUUUCAGUAAGAGUUGAGAAUUCCUCUACUCUUGAAAUGUUUGUGCCUCUAUUACUAUGUAUCAGGCAGUGAACUAAGCGUCUAGGAUAGAAAGAUGAAACUGUAGAACCUGCCCUCAUGGAGCGCAUGGUCUAGUAUGGAAAACAGCCAUAUGAACAAAUAACCACACUAUAAUAUUAAAUACAAUACCAAAAGGGAAAUGUAUUGAAUAUUUGACAUGUGUCAAUUACCUUGUUAGAUACUUUAUUAACAAUUAUCUAUGAUCAUAUUAGAUACGUAUUUGAAUUGGACAGAAGGCCAUGAAACUCUAGGACUGCUAGAGUUUGUUAUGCUCUCAAUUGUCUUCUAAAGAAACUGUCUCCUAAUGGUUCUUUCUGAAUAUGCUUUAGUCAUACAACUAUUGUGCAACUGUAGCAUACACAAAAAGCAUAUCUGUAGCAUACUCAUGUGACCAAUAAUGCAUUAAACCAACCUUACUUCUUUGGCCACAAGUAACUGGACCAAGGCUCAGUGUUUCAGCUAAGGACAACAUAUAGGUUGAACUUCAGGGACAAUCGCCAAGGACAUGGCAUGGCUCAAAAUUCUCUCUAAUAGGGGCCUUCCGUUUUUAGAAGGUGAGAGGCUAAUCCAAUCAGAUAUUCUCUCUUGGAAAAUACAAAUGUUGGGUGAACAAAAGAAAAGAGGGCAGGUUUUCAGAGCUCAAAUCUUAUCCUAAAUACUGCUAAAUUAAUGUUCUGUGAAGUUUUGAAAGUACUAGGGCCAAGAAACAAUAUGGCUACUUAGAUGACUUCCCAUCCAAGUUUACAUUCGGCCCUCAUUACCAAAGGUGAUAAGUGUGUGCCUCUUCCUUGCAACCCAUCAGGGUCUAACACAUCAUAUCGCCACUUCUGAAAUUAGGAAAUAGGCUCAGAAGUCCAAGAGCUUGACCAGAGUAAUUCACUUGGUAGGUAGCAGAACCAGAAUUCAAAGAGCAAGUCGGCGUGAUUCUUCUCCAAUAUCCUGCCAGUUACAUGGGCAAGUGGCCUCAAAAUCAACAAAAGACAAGUAGAGGUUGACAUGUGUCAAUGGAAAGAGGCUCAAAAGGAAGAGUUUAUACACAAGAAUAGAACAGAAACGUUCUGGAAGUAUGUCUGGGGAUGUGAAGUAGGAAGGGGCACACCAGGUUUCACCUUGGUCAAGUGACUGUCUAAUUCCCCGGAGCUCCAGACUUAGCUAUCGGUCUUUCUCACUCUAAUAUAAAAUCCACAGGGCAGGACCUUAAUCUCUAGCUUGUUCACCAUAGAUUAAAGCAGAGUCUGGCUUAAUAGUAAGUGCUUAAUAAAUAUAUGAAUGAAUAAAUGAACGAAAAUUCCACGUUGUUGGGGGAAGGGGUUAUCAUGAACCAGACCCUAGCAGUCACUUACAAAUACAGUUGAUCCUCAUUAUUUGUGGAUCCUAUAUUUGCAAAUUUGCUUACUUGCUAAAAUGUGUUUGUAAUCUCCAAAUUAAUACUUGUGGAGCUUUCAAGGUGAUUCAUGGACAUACACACAGUAGUGAAAAAUCUGUCACUCCUUAUGCACGUUCCAAGCUAAGGUCAAAUAAGAUGACCCUGGGCCUUCUUGUUUCAGCUGUCAUACAAAGAUGACCCAAGGACAGAGGCAGCAGAGGGCAGUGCAGGGUAGUGCAAGAAGCUCUGGCUCUGGGACUAAUUGGACGAGGUCUGAAUCUUAACUCUGGCACCUGUUAGUGAAGCAGCCUCAAGCAAAUCACUUAAUGCUUCUGUACUUCCUUUAUUGUUUUGUAAAUAAAGAAAAUUCAAUCUACCAAGAUGAGUUGUUUUUAGGAAUUAAGAUUAUAACCUAUGUGAGAUAUGUGUAUAUGUGCAUAUUUU